rnacentral:rRNA from 1 species
UACGUAGGUGGCAAGCGUUGUCCGGAUUUACUGGGCGUAAAGGGCGCGCAGGCGGUCGUAUAAGUCGAAUGUGAAAGCCCCCGGCUCAACUGGGGAGGGUCAUUCGAUACUGUUCGACUCGAAGGCAGGAGAGGGAAGUGGAAUUCCGGGUGUAGUGGUGAAAUGCGUAGAGCUCCGGAGGAACACCAGUGGCGAAGGCGGCCGCCUGGGCCAGGCCUGACGCUGAGCCGCGAAAGCGUGGGGAGCGAUCCGG